GACGAACGCUGGCGGCGUGCUUAACACAUGCAAGUCGAACGGUGAAGCGCCUUCCUUUUUGGUGGGUGUGGAUGAGUGGCGAACGGGUGAGUAACACGUGAGUAACCUGCCCCCUUCUUCUGGAUAACCGCAUGAAAGUGUGGCUAAUACGGGAUAUUCUGGGUCUGUCGCAUGAUGGGUCUGGGAAAGAUAUUGUUUCGGUGGGGGAUGGGCUCGCGGCCUAUCAGCUUGUUGGUGGGGUGAUGGCCUACCAAGGCGGUGACGGGUAGCCGGCCUGAGAGGGUGGACGGUCACAAUGGGACUGAGACACGGCCCAGACUCCUACGGGAGGCAGCAGUGGGGAAUAUUGCACAAUGGGCGCAAGCAUGAUGCAGCGACGCCGCGUGAGGGAUGGAGGCCUUCGGGUUGUGAACCUCUUUCGCCAGUGAAGCAGGCCUGCCUCGUUUGUGGGUGGGUUGACGGUAGCUGGAUAAGAAGCGCCGGCUAACUACGUG
rnacentral:rRNA from 1 species